rnacentral:tRNA from 1 species
CCGCUCAUAGCGAAGCUGGAUAUCGCAUCAGAUUCCGAUUCUGAAGGUCGUGGGUUCAAGUCCCUCUGGGCGGACCA